rnacentral:rRNA from 1 species
AUUGAACGCUGGCGGCAGUCUUAACACAUGCAAGUCGAUCGAGCGGCGGACGGGUGCCUAAUGUCUGGGAAUGUUCAUGAUGGAGAUGGUUCACUACUGGAAACGGUUGCUAAUACCGCAUCCCAUCCGCUGUGCCCAGGUGGGUUUAGCUAGUAGGUGGGGUAAUGGCUCACCUAGGCGCCGAUCCCUCGCUGGUCUGAGAGGAUGACCAGCCACACUGGAACUGAGAAACGGUCCAGACUCCUACGGGAGGCAGCAGUGGGGAAUAUUGGACAAUGGGCGAAAGCCUGAUGCAGCCAUGCCGCGUGUGUGAAGAAGGGCUUCGGAUUGUAAAGCACUUUCAGCGAGGAGGCGUUACCCGCAGAAGAAGCACCGGCUAACUACGUGCCAGCAGCCGCGGUAAUUC